UUUGCUUCGUUUCAUGUGCUCUUAGUAACUCUUGAGUUUGUUCCCUCGCAGGUUUUUGCCUGAGGCUUUGUGUACUUUGCUGAGUUCUGACUUCAUUCCGGAGGUUCUCUGAACAAUCUGGAUAAUUAUCUACUGAGUACUGGAUCAAACAUCUUGUGGAUUUCUCUGCCUACCGUCUGUACCUCUUGGACACGGAUCAAGCUGGCAGCUUCUUGCUUCCUUCAACCCCAGGAGCAAGGCAUAAGCGUACCCUGUUCCUCCCUCCUUAGCAAUCAUUGGCACCUGUGCUUCAACUGGUUUGCACCUAACCAGCAACUGAGAAGACAACUGGACAACCCCACUUCACAAGCUAAGACUCUGAAUCCCUCUACCCCUGGUGGUUCAAGCAACAGCAAUUUAUUGGAGUUUCCAGUUCUUAUGCCUUAUUACUUCGCUGACAAUAAAACAUGUUAAAACAUUA